AUUGAACGCUGGCGGCAGGCCUAACACAUGCAAGUCGAACGAGUGGCGGACGGGUGAGUAAUGUCUGGGAAACGGCCUGAUGGAGGGGGAUAACUACUGGAAACGGUCGCUAAUACCGCAUACCAUCAGAUGUGCCCAGAUGUGAUUAGCUAGUGGGUGGGGUAACGGCUAACAAAGGCAACGAUCCCUAGCUGGUCGGAGAGGAUGACCGGCCACACUGGAACGUGGACACGGUCCAGCCUCCUACGGGAGGCAGCAGUGGGGAAUUUUGCACAAUGGGCGCAAGCCUGAUGCAGCCAUGCCGCGUGUAUGAAGAAGGUCUUCGGGUUGUAAAGUACUUUCAGCGGGGAGGCGUUACCCGAAGAAGAAGCACCGGCUAACUCCGUGCCAGCAGCCGCGGUAAUUC
rnacentral:rRNA from 1 species